UCUCUUUAAUUCUUGACAGAUUUGUUCUGCUCAGAACGAAAUGACAUUCAGUUGCUCCCAUAUCGUAUCCAACCUCACAGUUCCGGGUUGCACUUGAGUAGCCUUCAGCCUUGGCCGUGACUUUGUACUCGCCAGGAUUUAAGAGCCGCCAAUAGUCUCCGUCAGUUGCUGGAACAAAAGAUGCGUCCACAGAUUAAAAGACACAGCUUACUUGGUAUAUUAGCACUACCGGUCCGCACUCCGAUUUACAAUUAGACUUCAAUUGGAAAUCAGCUGCAGUUUCGAGUGCUGUUGAAGGCAGUGAAGCAGGUGGAGCCUGGAGGCAUUUCGCUGAAUCUCUACAGUGUUGAAGCAGGCUCUUCGGCCCAACAAGACCACUCCAACCCUCAGAGCAUCACACCCAGACCCAUACCCCUAUAACCCACCUAAUCUACACAUCCAUGAACACUUUUGGGCAAUUUAGCUUGGCCAAUCCAUCUAGCCUGCACAUCUUCGGAAUGUGGGAGGAAACCGGAGCACCCGGAGGAAACCCACGCAGACACGGAGAGAAGGUGCAAACUCCACACAGACAGUCACCCAAGGGUGGAAUCAAACCUGGGUCCCUGGUGCUGUGAGGCAGGAUUGCUGACCACUGAGCCACCGACCUGGACAGUGUGGAACUCACCAACCAGCAGCUGCAGGCCUAAGAAAUCAAGAAAUAUUUGAAGAGUUUUCCUGAAGCAGGGCCAAUGAGGGUGUUGCCAGUACGUUUGAUGGAGCGGAUUUGACAAAAAAAAGAAUUUAAAUCAAGCUGAAAAGACACUGGAAACCCAGCAUAAGCCAUUUCUAGUAUAACUCACUGACAUUUAAUACUCCAGAAACUUUUGUGUUGGUUUGGCUGAAUUCACUGAUGUAACCAAAGGAAACAGGAGACAUUCAGCCCCAAGACCUUUAAUACAUACUGUUGUGGAUUGGCGCCUGGAGCAACUUUCCUAUGAUAUCACAUGGCUGCUCCCCACUGGGCAUCAGUAGUGGUGUGGGAGGAAUACAAAGGAAGACAGAAAGACACAGAGGCCAAGGAAGAAGCUUUAAAUCUAGCUGUUUGAGUGUAGAAACAUAUGUAGAGAAGCAUGUAGAAUUAGACUUACUAGUAGUAGGUGGAAGACCUCGUGGAAUGGUUUCCAAUAAUAUGACAGUAAGAUG